CCAAACCGUAUGCGUGUGAUACCCGGCAGGGGUUGCGCAUGCGGGGUUGUGGGAAUGAGCUUGAUCGGUCUGCCGGCCGGUCGGCGAGUCAGAAACCGUUGAUGUAGUCGAAGGACAUGCGAAAGGUCCGGCGUAGAGGGUAAGACCCCCGUAGACGAAACAUCAGCGGCUUGCUUGCUCAUCUCCCAAGUAGCACGGGGCCCGAGAAAUCCCGUGUGAAUCUGGCGGGACCACCCGCUAAGCCUAAAUAUUCCCUGGUGACCGA
rnacentral:rRNA from 5 species